rnacentral:rRNA from 1 species
AUGCAGUCGAGCGACAGAUGAGAAGCUUGCUUCUCUGAUGUUAGCGGCGGACGGGUGAGUAACACGUGGGUAACCUACCUAUAAGACUGGGAUAACUCCGGGAAACCGGGGCUAAUACCGGAUAAUAUAUUGAACCGCAUGGUUCAAUGUUGAAAGACGGUUUCGGCUGUCACUUAUAGAUGGACCCGCGCCGUAUUAGCUAGUUGGUAAGGUAACGGCUUACCAAGGCAACGAUACGUAGCCGACCUGAGAGGGUGAUCGGCCACACUGGAACUGAGACACGGUCCAGACUCCUACGGGAGGCAGCAGUAGGGAAUCUUCCGCAAUGGGCGAAAGCCUGACGGAGCAACGCCGCGUGAGUGAUGAAGGUCUUAGGAUCGUAAAACUUUGUUGUUAGGGAAGAACAA